rnacentral:rRNA from 1 species
AGAGUUUGAUCAUGGCUCAGGACGAACGCUGGCGGCGUGCCUAAUACAUGCAAGUCGAGCGGACCGAAAGGAGAGAUCGCUCUCCUUUCAGUCAGCGGCGGACGGGUGAGUAACACGUGGGUAACCUGCCUGUAAGACCGGGAUAACUCGCGGAAACGCGAGCUAAUACCGGAUAGGUCCCGUGGCCGCAUGGCGACGGGAGGAAAGAUGGCGCGAGCUAUCGCUUACAGAUGGGCCCGCGGCGCAUUAGCUAGUUGGUGGGGUAACGGCCCACCAAGGCGACGAUGCGUAGCCGACCUGAGAGGGUGAUCGGCCACAUUGGGACUGAGACACGGCCCAAACUCCUACGGGAGGCAGCAGUAGGGAAUCUUCCGCAAUGGGCGAAAGCCUGACGGAGCAACGCCGCGUGAGCGAAGAAGGCCUUCGGGUCGU